rnacentral:rRNA from 1 species
UACGUAGGGUGCAAGCGUUGUCCGGAAUUAUUGGGCGUAAAGAGCUCGUAGGCGGUUUGUUGCGUCGGCUGUGAAAUCCCGAGGCUCAACCUCGGGUCUGCAGUCGAUACGAGCAAACUAGAGUGUUGCAGGGGAGACUGGAAUUCCUGGUGUAGCGGUGAAAUGCGCAGAUAUCAGGAGGAACACCGGUGGCGAAGGCGGGUCUCUGGGCAACAACUGACGCUGAGGAGCGAAAAGCGUGGGGGAGCGAACAGG